UACGGGGGGGGCAAGCGUUGUUCGGAAUUACUGGGCGUAAAGGGCUCGUAGGCGGCCAACUAAGUCGGACGUGAAAUCCCUCAGCUUAACUGGGGAACUGCGUCCGAUACUGGAUGGCUUGGAUUUGGGAGAGGGAUGCGGAAUUCCAGGUGUAGCGGUGAAAUGCGUAGAUAUCUGGAGGAACACCGGUGGCGAAGGCGGCAUCCUGGACCAUUACUGACGCUGAUGAGCGAAAGCCAGGGGAGCAAACGGG
rnacentral:rRNA from 1 species